ACAAUAUUAAACUGGUAUUUCUAAGUUUUAAAAAAAAUAAAAAGUGAGGUUUGUGAGCUACUUAGUUCAACCACUUUUUGUUAAUUCCGGUAAUCUUUUUUCUGUUUUCAUUUUUUAGAUCACUAUUAAAAUAAUGUCUCCUGAUCUUCAGAGAGGACAGUUAAAAAUUGUACGGGGAUCUGGUUUGCCAUUAGUACUGACCAACGUUGAGGCGACCUGUGAUGAAGUACUGAACGCUGCAGUUGCUAAGCACAGGGCGUUUGAUCAGAAUUUUCGUGAUGGGGAUUACUACUUACUUUACCCAGACAUGACAAAAGUUCAUUUUAUACCAGGAACCCAGGAGCUUUUUAAUCUUAAAUCCUACAAAGAGGCAUGUGGGAAACCAUACAGAAGAAUUCUAUUAUGUCUAUGUCUGCAGACAGAAUUCCAGAAAAAUGGUAAGUGGAUAAUGUAUUGAAUUUAGAAUUAUAAUAAAGAGUGACUGUGACUCAGAUUACUAUUUUCAUAUUUCCGCAGAAAAUCCUACUGUUGAAAUAUCUGAUAGCGAUUCUGAGGUUAUAUUGAAGCACACAGAGAAUGAUGAUCUGGAUGAAACACUGCCAUGGAAGCAAGGUGCUUCAAAUCAAGCCGAGGCUGACCGAAGUGCACAGCAGUCGUCAUCACAUACCGUGGAUAUGAGACCCCAGGGAAGCAGUAGUAAUAUCUGCUAUAGGAACUACACUGAGGUAUUUGCACCAAUCCCUCUCAGUGAUGACAGCAGUGUUGAAGACACAGAAGAAACUGUGAUAGGUGAUAGAGCUCAAGAAAGCCAUAUUACAAUAAGUAACAUCAUAGAAGAUUUAUUUCUUCAAGUCAAUAAUGCAGCCUGCAGUCGCUUUAUAAUUAAGAGAGCUGAUGUCUGGGAUGGAGCAAUGCGGGGUUUCCGUAGAAGUAACUAUGAACCCCAGAAUUCCAUUAUGGUGAAAUUUACGGAUGACAUUGGAGUCACUGAAGAAGGAAUUGAUACAGGAGGACCAAAACGGGAGUUCCUUGGUCUUCUAAUGGAUCACUUGCAUAAACGUCCCAUAUUUGAAGGACCAGAAACACAAAGGUUUCUUAAAUAUGAUGCA